rnacentral:rRNA from 1 species
CGUAAGCGCGCGCAGGUGGUUUCUUAAGUCUGAUGUGAAAGCCCACGGCUCAACCGUGGAGGGUCAUUGGAAACUGGGAGACUUGAGUGCAGAAGAGGAAAGUGGAAUUCCAUGUGUAGCGGUGAAAUGCGUAGAGAUAUGGAGGAACACCAGUGGCGAAGGCGACUUUCUGGUCUGUAACUGACACUGAGGCGCGAAAGCGUGGGGAGCAAACAGGAUUAGA